rnacentral:lncRNA from 1 species
GCCAAGAAAAACUGAAAAAUAUUCCUUUCGUAGGGACCACAAUUCAUAUCUUCUUUCUUUCUACAAUAUACACACACACGCUAAUAUAUAGAGAGGGAAUAGACACAAAAUAGAGAGAUCUGAAAAAGGGAGGAGAACGAGCAACUUUUCUCCAUGGAACUUAGCUGAAGCUUCAGACCUCACCCCAAAAUUCCAGAGACAGCCGCAAUACACACAAAAAUGACCUUCCCCCUAACCUAUCGUCUUCUUCAUGGAUACAAGUAGCUAACCCUAGGACAUAGAGCUUCAGCCUCAAGAACAAAAAGGAAUAGAACCACACCCCAUCGUCGAUCUUCUUCUUCUGGAAAAAUCAGCAAACCAAAACCAUAGAGACCCCACGAUCUUCAUCUUCUUCAACCUUGAGCAUACAGCAGCAACCCUAGGACCCCUAACCCAUCAAGGAAGCUCCAGCCGCUAAUCACCCAUCGAGAGCAAUUGCUGCUCUUUUUGUCUUCCUCUUCCAGCAGCUGCCAGAAAAAUGAGCUCCAGUAGCUCGUCGGAUUAACGAGCUCCAGCCGAGCAACAACGAACCAGAACACCAAACACUUUUGCUCAUCGCAAAAUCUCCACCAACCCACGAUAUUAACUCCAUUAUCUCAUACCAGAACCUGCUGGAAACCAGCAGCAACAGCUGCCAUAACUGGCCAGAAAUCCAGCAGAAACUUUGAGCACGUAACUCCAUCACCUCUCCUGUUCGAGUAGGAUUCGAGGUCGCCGGUUGGUUGUUCCGUUCGGUGUCUCCGGUCGUGGUUCUGGCUUCGGGUUCAUUAUUCCCGUUGAUGUCUUUGUCUUGAUUUACAAGAGAAUUUUCAAAGUGUUCGUAAGUCUCUUUUUCCGUUUUCAUUUGGAUUUGUUUUUUGUUUAGUAUCUUGUUUUAUUUUCUUAGUUCUUUAAUAAAUAUGUACUAUUGGCUUCUACUGUAUUAUGCUUUGGUAUUUGUGAUUUUCUUUUUGGUUUUGAUAAAGGUUCUAAAUCUGAUUGUUGAAGAAUUUGUAAAGAUUAAUCUUUUUGCUAGGAAAAUAUGUAGGUACAAAUAAGAAAGUGUACUGUUUCUUGGCCUGUUUGGUUUGAAUUAUUUAGGAAAUUUAUUCUUAGACAAAUGGUAAAAUAUAGUCAAUUCAAUGAAAUGAUGGUUUUAUUUGCUCAAUAUCUUUUGGAAAUUAACAAGCCAUUAAUUCUAAUUGUGAUAUGUGAUUGUUUUGAAACAGGUAAAUUGAUCCAAACCAAAAUACCCAUAUUGUAAUGAACAUUCGUAGUUUGCUUUAGUUGAGUACAAUCUUUUAAAAUAAUUCGAGGUGUGCCACUAGUUGAAUUUUUCAUGGACCUCGCAAAGUUGAAAGUGCGUAGUUUCUUUACGCGCGCUAUUUAAAAAAUUACCUUCCUAAACUCGGGUGUGCAUUUCAUGUGACCCAAAUCCAAAUCUUAACAACGUUAAAUAAAAUGUGUCUAAGACUGCGGGUGCAUUUCAUGUGACGUGGUCCAAAGACAUAUUUUAGAUGACGUUGAAAUAUUCCUUAAAACGAAUAAAAGCGGUUUAAAAGUAAAAUGCACAUAGGUUUGAAAGUGUUCUAAAAUCAGAUAAUUGAGCCAAUAAUAACAGUUGAGCGACCGUGCUAGAACCACGGAACUCGGAAAUGCCUAACACCUUCUCCCGGUUUAACAGAAUUCCUUACCUGGAUUUUUGUGUUCACGGACUGUGAAACAGAGUCAAUCUUUUCCUCGAGUCGGGAUUUUCACCGGUGACUUGGGACACCAUAAAAUUAUUCCAAGUGGCGACUCUGAUUUUUAAUAAAAAUAAAUCUCGUUUCGAUUGUCACUUAAAUUGGAAAAAACACCCUCAUACCUCUUCCGGGGUGUAGGUAAAAAGGAGGUGUGACACCAACCUUCAGAACACUCCAAACAACAUCGAAUCAUCAAAGCACCCUCGGAUUCAAGCCUAAGAUUCCCAAAACAUCCGAAUUCCGCAAACGAUCAAAAAAUCUAUCAAACCUCAUCCGAAUGACCUGAAAUUUUGCAUACACAUCUCAAAUGACACAACGGACCUACUCCAAUUUCCGAAAUUCCAUUCUGACCCUGAUAUCAAGAUUUCAACUACCAACCGAAAAAUGCCAAAAUUCCAAUUUUGCCAAUUCCAACCUAAAUCUACCACGGACCUCCGAAUUACAUUCCAAUCACGCUCCUAAGUCUCAAAUUACCUAACGAAGCUAUCCGAACCAUAAAAACUAUAUUCCGACACUGUUUGCUCACAAGUCAACUUCCGGUUGAUUUUGCCAACUAAAAGGCCAACUUAAGAGACUAAGUGUCUCAUUUCUCUAUAAAACCACUCCGAACCCGAACCAAACAACCCGAUACCACGUAAUACAACUGAACAACACAUAAAGAAGCGGAAAUGAGGAAAAUGGAGUGGUAGUUCAUGAAACAACCCGCCGGGUCAUUAUAGAUUUGAACGAAAAGAUGUGACAUACAGGAUCUGAAAAGGUUGAUGACGUGGCACUCAAUUUUUUUUGUUUCUUUUGAGAUAUUUAUUAGAAAAACACAAGACUACUAACCUAUAGUACAAGAACUGGGUUCUUGACCGGUCUUUCAAAAAUUCUUAACCCUCUUUUACCGCUCAUGCAGUGCUUUUGCAGCUUUUAUGAUUAUCAUGUAUGUCUACCUGCAACGGUAUAGAAGUGAGUUAGACUUGGCUAGAAAAUACCUUAGCUAAUUUCACCUGAAUGUAACUUUCAUAGCCAUAUGAAAGGAAUCAGGUUCUCAGUUAGGCUUCAUUAGCCCAAUGUCAUCCCGUUUCUCUCAAAAUGUUCUCUGCUCAAAGAUUUGGUGAAGAUAUCUGCAAUUUGGUCUUCUGUACUACAGAACUUCAUGCAGAUAAGCCCCUUCUCCACAUUGUCUCUGAAAAAAUAAUGUCUCACAUCAAUGUGCUUGGUUCUUUUAUGCUGGACCAGGUUCUUGCCCAUGUUGAGUGCACUGGUGUUGUCACAUAGAAGAGGCACACAAUCAGUGUACACACCAAAAUCUUCCAAUUGAUGUUUGAUCCAUAGGAGUUGAGCACAGCAAGAAGUUGCGGCAACAUAUUCUGCUUCAACUGCUGAAAGAGCUACUGAAUUUUGCUUCCUUGUGCCCCAUGAAAUAAGACAUGAUCCUAGGAAGUGAGCCAUUCCAGAUGUGCUUUUCCUGUCCACAAGACAAUCUGCAUAAUCAGCAUCAGCAUACCCAAUAAGAUUAAAAUUGUCACCUGAAGGGUAGUACAGAACGAGGUCCUGUGUUCCCUUAAGAUAUCUCAAAAUUCUUUUGGCAGCAUUCAAAUGAGAUUACUUGGGAUUUGACUGAAACUUUGCACAUAGUCCCACACUGAAAACAAUAUCUUGCCUGAUUGCAGUAAGAUAAAGGAGAGAUCUAAUGAUGCCUCUAUAUAUUGUUUGAUUCACCGGAGAGCCAGAUUCGUCCAUGUAAAGUCUAGUAGCAGUGGUAAUGGGAGUGUUAAUCAUUUUUUAUGCUUCCAUGUCAAACCUCUUCAGAAGCUCUUUGAUAUACUUCUGCUAACUAAUGAAUGUUCCCUUUGUGGACUGCUUCACUUGAAGACCCAAGAAGAAAUUCAACUCACCCAUCAUGCUCAUCUCAAACUCAAUUCCCAUGAGUUUUGAAAAUUCCUCACAUAGUGAAUCAGUUGUUUCCCCAAAAAUGAUAUCAUCAACAUAUACCUGAACAAUGAGCAGGUUCCUCUCUCGUUUCUUCAGAAACAAAGUGUUGUUAAUUUUUCUUCUUAUAAAACCAUUUUCUAAGAUAAAUUUUGACAAUCUUUCAUACCAAGCUCGAGGAGCCUGCUUCAACCUAUACAGUGCCUUGUCCAAUUUGAACACCUGAUCAGGGUGCUCAUGACACUCAAAUCCUGGAAGUUUCUUUACAUAGACUUCUUCCUUGAGGAAACCAUUUAGAAAUGCGCUUUUGACAUCCAUUUGGAACAGAGUGAAUUCCAUAUGUGAUGCAAAGUCAAUGAGGAUUUUGAUAGCUUCCAUACGAGCAACUGGAGCAAAAAUCUCAUCAUAAUCAAUUCCUUCCUCCUGAUUGUAGCCUUGGACCACUAGCCUUGCCUUGUUCCUUGUGGUGUUUCCAUGUUCAUCAAGCUUAUUUCUGAAUACCCACCUGGUCACUAUGAUAGUCCGAUCUAAGUGUCUAGGUCCAGCUGCCAUACUUUGUUCCUUUCGAAUUGAUGCAACUCAUCGUGUAUGGUUGUGAUCCACUCUGCAUCUUCUAAGGCUUCCUUAAUGUUUUUGGGCUCUAUUUGGGAUAGAAAUACUGAGAAGGCAAGUGAAUUUCUGGCUUUUGAUCUGGUUUGGACUCUUGAAUCUAAAGGAGUAAUUUUGUUGUUAAGAGGAAGGGGCUUUUGUGUUUAUAGUUGGGCACUUGAGCUUCACUUAUAGAGGAGCUGGGUAAUCCUGACUGGUUCCCUUGUAUCCUUCUUUCAGUUACCUGUGGAGUAAUUUGAACUGCAUCAACCACUCUUUCUUCAGCUUCAGUGGUUGUUAUUAUAGUACCUGGUUCCUCUCCGGCUAAUGAGGAAGAGACUACAUUGUCUUCACUUGUCUCCUUCACUUGACUCAUCAUAUCUGCCUUUCCAUUUUCCAUAUCAAUGACCUCACCUGGAACCAGCAGAGGCUCUCCAUCUUGAUCAUCCUUGUUGCUUUUCUCACAGGAGAGGUAGGACUCGUCAAAGAUUACAUGUACACUCUCUUCAACACUGUUACACCCACAUUUUUUAAUAUGAAAGUGCGCCAUAAAUAAAUUGAUGAGAGCUUAAAAAUGAGAUGUUACACCCCGUAUUUUUUGUACGUUAAUGUUUCGUCGUAAGUUAAUCGACGUAAUCUCGGGAAUGAGAUUAUUUUGGGAUUAUAAGUAUUAUUCUAUUCCAAAUAAGUGAUGAGAAUAUUCCUUAAGGAGAGAGGGUAAGCAAAUCGAAGAAAAUAAAAUUCCUCGAAGUUUGACAAUUUGGGAUAAAAUAUGGUCCAAGCUAUAAUACCCGGUAUUUGUGGAUUAGUGUCAUACAAGGUACCAUAUGACCAUGAUAGUAUGAUGUAUAAAUUAUAUUCAAAAGGAAUAGUAUUUUAAGUAACUUGAGAUAAUUCUUAAUUAUGUGGGUAAUUAGUUAAUUAUUGGACUAGUAGGGGAAUUAAUGGAUUGAUUAAAAAAAGGGGUGGAUAAUUGGAUAAGUGAGGGGAACUCACUUGGUAGCACUCCUUAAACACCAAGAAUGACUCUUUAAGUCAUUAUAUUAUGUGGCAAAUUAUACAAAUGAGUCACUAGACAAAGUGACAACUCAUUUACACAUAAAGACUUUUUCGCCUCUUUAUUGGAAAAGUAUAUGACUUUUCAAAGUUAAGAUAACAUUCCUAUACCAUUAAAAGAGAAAAAUGACAAUGAUCCAACGUGAAUUUGCUCUGAAAUCUUACAAGAUCCAACGUGAAAGGCUAGUUCAAAGAAAGCCCGGUACAAUCUUUCUCAAGAAUAUCAUACGGAUUUUUCCCUACUCUGAUCUUGCCGACAUGUGUUUUGUCACAAUUAAUGUGUGUUAGAGGGAUUGUCAAGAGAAUCGGCUCAGAUAUGUUAAGGCUAUCCCUUAUUUUCUUUUGGCAUGAUCCAUACGAUACAAACGAAAUUAGAAAAUGCACAACUUCCAUAAAAGACUCUAUUCAUAGAAGUAUUAGAAGAGCCUAUGUUCUUGAAUUCUCAUGUACCUUGUUAUCUAUCAUUUGUUCAUGGGUCUCAGAAAAAUACGUAAGUUGAAAAAAGUUUACUUCAUGAUAUUACUCAAAAACAUAAUGGUCUUAUGACAAUCCAAGAGAUUUUAUUGACGUACUUCUCAUGCAUUGCAUUCAUUUACGUUGACCCAUGACCAGAAGGCAUUAUAUACGUGUAUAUAUGUAUAUUAUAUGUAUAUGGGAUAUGAAAAAAGGUUACAGCGUUAUAUACGCACCACCACCUGAUCAGCUGGUAUACGUUGAUGAUUUUGCCCACAGUGGCCGAUAUUAUAUGAUGGGAUGCCUUCAGAGGCUUGAUGAUGUUAUGAAAUAUGUACCUAUGCACGACAUGAUAUUCAUAUGCAUAUACAUGACACUAUAAGUAUUUCAUGAUUUACAGAGUUAUCCAGACUUACAAGUUGAGUCAAUUACUCCAUGUUUCUUCCAUGUCUUUUAUAUACUUAUUUAUGUGCCUUACAUACUCGGUACAUUAUUCGUACUAACUUCCCUUUUGCCUGAGGAUGCUACAUUUCAUACCCGUAGGUCUUGAUAGACAGGAUGAGAGUCCUCUAAGUAGACAGGAUGAGAAUCCUCUAAGUCGCUUAUUUGGUCAGUAUGCUUAUGAUGGAUAAAUAUGAGGUAUUCAGCACAUCAUGUGUAUACUAAGACGUGUAAGCCUCUUGAUAAGGAACCUUAAGGAAAGAAUAUUUAUCCACCUUUAUGGUGAAAGAUAAUGAGAGAUUCAGAAGAUAAAUACAAGAUUCAAGAAGUAAAAGAAGCAAGGUGAAGAAGGGUACGAGGCACCUAGUUAAUGAAGAGUAUCAGUAUUACAGUUCCGGCAGAAAAAUAUAAGCAUUGUGAGUUACCCUCAACAGUAACAAAGGUAUGUAUAAUUGGCCACACCCAUUUUAGUUAUACCCUAUUGGGAGCUAACAUACAUAGUUUAAGAGAAGGACGAGUUAUAAGGAUCUGGCUGGGGAUAGAGUAGCCCAAAAUAGUGGAUGGAUUGGCAGAGUUAGUUGACAUUUCCGAAGGAUAGUACAAGUAUGGUAAUAGGUCUCCUUGUGAGACACCUAGAUGGUGCACUCUGAAAUAGUAAAGCUAGAUAUGAGUACUAUAAAGAUAAACACUGGAAGCCUUGAAGGGAUAAAUAUUACCUUAGUAUGGUUCCCGUACCUAGUAGAGGGAGAAUGUUAGGCAGCCCGAAGAGCCAGUAGAUGGAGAAAGGGAAGGUAAAAGCAAAAUAAUGUCUUGUUAAAGUUUUCAGGAUAAAGUGAUAGAUAGAAAUAUUAGUAGGGAAGUACGAAGAGGGAUAAUGAAACAUUAUGAGUGAGAUGUGAUACAUGUAUGGCAACAGUAGAGUGUUACAGAAUCUAUAGUCAAAUGAAGAAAGAGAUGAGAGGUGAUAGGCCUUAAGACAACAAAAGAGUAUAGGCCAAACAGUCACAUCCUCAUUUUAAGAAAUAAGUUCGAAACUCUAACGUGAUUAACAGAAGGAAAAGUUAGACCCCAAGAGUAAUAGAAAUCCGUAUGGACUGGUGAACAAGGUAAACUAAACAUGAAUUAGGAACUGAGUGAUUUGAUAAUCGUCAACAUCAUGAGAAUUUCAUAUUACAUUCUGUCAACAAAUAGAAUAGACAACAGAAGAAGAUCCAUGAUGAAUUCAGAGAAUGGUCAUUCAGGGAGACGUUUCCUAAACCAAGUAAUAUGAGCAAAGUUAAGCUUAAGGGACUGUAUGUGCCAGUUAUACUACGUGUCACCAUCGCGAGUGAGGAAUUUUGUUAUCCUUGGUACAGAAAGAUUGCCGCAAGGCAACUAAGGGUCAUUGAUGAUGUGAAAGGACGCCAAAGAUGAAGAGGAAAAACAUCUAUAGGCAGGUCGUCAUAGCUCCAAGUCUNNNNNNNNNNAAAUGAGAAAGGGAUGAGAUUGACCAAAUGUUACAAAUAUGUUAUGAUUCCAGAACGUUAUGUCAGAAUGACAUUAGAAAAAGAAAGUAAGGAUUCCUGUCUGGGAUGUUAUUGAUAGAUAAGGAGCUAGUACGUGAGGUAAGUUAAAACAAGGAAAUAACCCAAGAAAGAUUAAGCAGAAUAUGGAUAUGAGAAUGGGAUGACAAGUAGUUAGUAGUUGAUUCAGGAAGAGCCUAGUCAUGACUAGACAAGAAUUUACAGACAAAUCAGUAGAUCAUGCAAGAUAAAUGUAGUAAACCCCAACAUGGAGAAUUCAGCCUCGCAGUAAUGUCAUUAUAAUACUUGAGAUAUAUUCAAAUAGGAGUCGGGGUAGUUAAAGGUACCGUAUGAGUGUUACAGGGUUAAAAGAAAGUGCCACUUGGAAGGCAGUCAAAAUAUCAAUUCAGAAGCAUUCCUACAAGUACAAGGGCACGGAGGUAAGCAACUACGGAUGAUUAUAGGCAAGGAAGGACAUAAAAAAAGGUCUGUAGUAAGCUCACAGCUUUACGAGAGUCAAGGGUUCUCCCUAAGUACUAGAAUGAAAGACUAGCUGAGGAAAUAAGGAACAAGGCUUCAACCUAAGCACACCAACCUAAAGAGGAAAUGGUUGUGUAACCACAGUCUCGCAAUAACAUUGUAAGCAGUCCAAAGGAAAGUGGCACCUACUGUGGCUAAUGAACGGGAAGUAAAAUUAAAAGUAAUAUUCGAGAUCAUAUGAGUUGUAUAAAAACUAUGGCAUGUAUGGGAAUUAAGAUAAGCUAAGUAUGGACGCAAUAAGGGGCAGAAAGACCAAGAAAAGUAAUAGCCUACAUUGAAAGAAAGCUAAGAUGGAGUGAAAGAAAUUAUUCGAUCAACGAUCCAGAGUGGGUUAUGUUAUGAACACACUUAAGGGUUCGGAGUUUUAUACAUGUAGCAUAUACAGCCAUAAAAGAUUCUGGUAUAGGUUAAAGAAAGAAUUGAGCCCAGGUCUUAGACAAGAGAUUAAAUUGUUAAAGGACUAUAUCAUGCAUAUUCCUCAGCGCCCAUGAAAGGCUAAAUAGAAUAACUAAUACCAUGAACCACAGAUCGGGAGAUAACUUAAGCCGACAUAAAGGCCGAUCAGAAGAAGGAGGAAUCUAAAGAGUUACAUCAAUGAAGUAAAUCAGGAAUCCAAUUAUUGGACCUAGAAGUUAUAGGAAUCAUGAUUGAGAACAUAGCAGAAUCCCUCUUAAUAUCAGAAAUACAGGAGAGAUAGUACAACAGUCAUAUUCUAUAACGGCUCUAUGAUAAAGCCAGUUAGAAUAGUACCAGCCUCAUAAGAAGUCAGUACGUAGCUCCCACUGGAUUGUGUAUGCACUGUGAGCACGUGAUUUUUGCUCUCACGACAAUUACUCCAAAAGAAAUCGAAAAAUAAAACAAAUUUUCUUUGUGCGUAAUUUUUAAAAUCUGUAUGGCAUUUCAGAUAGUUAUUUGUAGUUUUGUCUGUGAUUGUUUAAAUACAAAAAAAAAUGUUUGCAUGAAUUUAGGAUUUUCUGCUAUUAGGAAUUAAUUAAAUCAUAUUUGGAAUGAAAAUCACAAAAAAAUAUUAUUUUUGGUAAUUUUGUCAUUUUUAUUGUUUAAUGGUUGAUUUUGUUUAAUUAAUAUUUGAUAUUGUGUGUUAAUUAUUGCUAAAAAUCAAUUAAUGUCUGUGUGAUAUAAUUUUUAUUUUCAUAAUUUAUUUUUAGGAUUUUUGUAAAUUCGGAAUUUAAACUAGGAAUUAAAAAGGAAAAGAACAAAAAAUAGAAAAGAAAUUUGGACUGGGCCAUUCCCUUUUUGGGCCAAAAUCAGGCCCAAACGAGACCUAUACCCGGUCCAAACCUUCAGUUCUCAAAGACGCCUCAGAUGACGCCAUUUCGAGAUCAGCGAAUCUCGACCGUUCAUCCAUACUCAUCCAACGGUCCAAGAUCUCACCCCAUAACCCGACCUACUUACCCGGAUCGACCCAGUCCCUCAUUAAAACCAAACGGCCCCGUUUCUACACCAAACGACCCCGUUUCUACACCAAACGACCCCUCCCGUCCUUCACCAAUUAAUCCGAGCCGUUAAGAUCAUUUGAUCUAACGACUCAAAUUAAUUGUCACAUUUAAUAUACCCAAAAAUCCCCAAACCCCUUUACCCGUUUCAUUCCCAAACACCACCCCCCUUCGUCUCUGAAAGAGAUGAACCAAACGACCUCGGAACCCUAGCGCCGCCUUUCCACCCCCUCACCAUAAACCCAGCGGCAACGAUGCUGAUGACCACCAAAUUAACACCCCUAGUGCACCUCGACCCCCUGGACACGAAUCUACAAACCGUUUGGCUCGAAUCAACCUACAUCGUCUCGAAUCUUCAUCUAAAGAUUCAAUCCAAACCUCAACCUAUAUCAACCGACCCCAAAUUCACACCAGUUACUCCCCUGACCUCCCUCGUGACCAAACCAAGCCUGGUUUGGUUCGAAUCGAACUAGAAAAGCUCGAACCCCUAAUCUGAGCCCCAAGAACCCUAGAAGUCCAAGAACCAGGAAUUUGUCCAAAUUAGCAGAGGGUGUGGGGUCUAAUAGACCUUAGUCGAAGUGUUCUCCGUUGAGAACACUUGAUUAAGGUCCAUUCGACCUCAAAAAGGUCGAGUCUGAGUUCGGACCGGGGUCAUCUAGUUUUCUUGAGGUAUUCUUUUUCCCUUUCUGUUUGUUCUAUUUUUUUGUUUGUUUUGUUAUUCGUUUGUGUGGUUAGAAUGAUUUUAUUUCCAAUUUCUGUGUUUUGUUCUUCUUCUUCUCCAAAUCAGACCUAUUAUUUGGUCGAAAUUUUCGUCUGUUCAUUGUUAAGUGUAUGUGUUAAACUAUAUAAUCAAUUGGAAUGAGUUUGGUCGAUUAAUUAGUUUCCAAGGUAAUUCCCUGUUUUGUCAGUACAACUUGAAUCACCUAUGUGUACUGUUCGAUUCUGAUCAUUAGCUAUUGACUAUAUAUGUUGUAAUUCAUAUAGUCGAUUGGAUAAAUGUCGUCAAUUAGUUUAAACAGGUUGGGAUGUUAGAAACCUGCAAAUUGUUCAGUUUUAAUGGUCUGUCAGUUUAAUACUAAUAUACCACUAAGCUAAUGAAUAAAAUAGGGAUUAAUAGUGGGAGUGAUAAUAUGUUAAGUGCCUUUAGUGGCUGGAAAUCAGAAAGAGCAUGGGGUUUAAUUUUAAAAUAGAAAUGGCCAGUUAAAAGACUGACAGAUUUUUUUAAAUUAACUAGUGAAAAAGGUACGACUUGAGUUGACUUAGUGACCUUACUGGUGGGAAAUCAGUAACAGCAUGGGUUUAAUGAUAAAAAGGUAGAAAUGCACAUGAGGAGGGAAUAAAACAGGUUGAAAGUGAAAUGUUUGAAGAAAAGAAUGGCCAAUUCUAGUCUAUAAAUAGACUGGAUUUUGGACAAGAAAAGGGGGGGAGAACCUAAGGGAGUCUAUUUUUGAACUAGUGAAGAAAGCUCAUUUCUUGACUUCAAUCCUAGAUAGACAAUAAAAAAAAAAGCAAAAGAAAAACCUCUGUUGUUCCAUUGAAGUGGAGAAAAUUCUGCUUUCCUUCACUGUUUGAAAUCAGCACUAACUGCUAUUAUUCCAUUGAAGCUUCAAGCUUCUUUCUUUGAGUGUUCAAAAAUCAUAAACUAUUGUUCCACUGUUGUUUCGGAUUCACCUGUUUCUGCCUGUGAUUAACAUUGGUAUUUCCGGGUCUCAACUGAGUCUCCCGAGUCUGUUUUGGUUGGAUAUUGGCACUAUUUCAUUGGUUUAUUUCUGGUUUGUUCACUGGGAUUUAUUCUGCUUGGUUGUUAGUGCUGCUGUUGCUGUUGCUAUUUGCUGUUUACUGCUGCUUCUACUGAUCUUCAUCUUCUUUCCUUGCUUUCCAAAUACCAGGUACACAAAUUGAUACACUGGUACAUCUUGUAAGCUACUCGAAGCAUGAAUGCAAAAUGGGAAAGAUUUGAAGCUGUAGUUUAAUGUAGUCUUUUCUUUUUUUUACUGUCUGUACUUAGAACAUUUUAUGCACUGCCCAUGUAAACUCUGGUUAUAUACUGAAUCUCGGUUGUAUAUAUGUUAGCUAGUUGCCUUCACUGGAAUCAGGUAGUUGUUGGUUAUGUAUAACAUGGGCACUAUCCUAUAGCAGUUUAAGUUGUAAACUUCUUCCCCGUAGGUUUUUAGUUUAAAAGGACUAAUAGUGUAGUUGUAACAUUCUGCUAGUUCAAUAUGUUCGAAUAAACAGCAUGUUCCAAAUACACAUCAGGCCUUAGGUUGAUUACUUAAUAGUUCAAACUAUUUUAGUUCAAACUAUUUUAGUUAACAACUUGCUCAUCUAAAUUUGUAAAAAAG